UGACAAAGAAAUUUCAUCUCCUUGUCUCGGUGGUGAAUCCCAAACCUAUGAGGAGGAUGCCAUGUCUUCCAGAUUAAUGUGUAGUCUUCCCAUUCUAGGAAGAAGGUAGGAUGAGAGGAGAGAAAAUGGAAGUCAUAGUCAAGGAUUCAGAAACUUCUAUUUAAAAGAGAAAAAAACACACAAAAAGCCAGGUGCUAAGGACAGGCAUUUCACUUGAGCCAGAGCAGCUCUAGCUUCAUACAUUAUCUGAAUUCAGAUAUGUCUGAUCAAGAGUAUUAAGGAAAUUGGAGUUGCUGGGCGUGUGACCCAAAAUGUGUCUUCAGAGUACUGCUGCUUUAUUGCUAUUACCAUAUGGACAUCACAUUAUCUUUAGUGCACUUGGAUUUCAAAGCAAAGGAGAUAAUAGAUACCACUGAAAAUGGAUAAGGAGGAUAAGGAUGAAAACAAUGUAGAUAUGUUACUAGCAGCAAAGACUGCUGGGAGAUUUUAAUUUUCAUUUAUUAUCCAAUUACAAUUUAGCUACACAUACUAGUAAUGACAGAGAAAAAGCUAGAGAUUUCAUAAAGAGAAAUGGUCUGAAAUGAAAAUAUACCCAUUUCUGAAGAAAUUAUGAGGACGCAACAGGGAAAAUUACAAAUUACAAAAGCUUACCUAGAGCUGUUCUGGUUCAUGGUGACAAAUAAAUCCAGUCUACCUCCAUAUUCUCUUUAAUGAAUGUUGGGAUUUACUUUUCAUCAAUCACAAUAAUUGAUUGGGGUACGAAUACACUCAAUUUUUCAUUAG